GUGUUGUAUGAAAGGAGAGGUUCGCACCCACCUUGAUAAAAACGGAAGAUGCACUUGUGGUCUUUGCACAAAAUAUUUUUAAGGCAUGGCCACCUACUUUGUGGCAUUAAACUAUGUUUUUU